rnacentral:antisense_RNA from 1 species
GGCGCUUGAGGCUUUUUGCCUCAUGAUGUUUUAGCAGUAAGGAUGUUGUGUGGCAGAAAGAAGAAAGCCCCGUAGUAAAGUUAAUUUUCAUUAACCAAACCACGAGGCCCACUGUAUGCCUAGACCACAUCAGUAUGGCCUCUUACCGUGCUCAAUGCAAGGAGGAGUAAACCAUG